UGAAGGUGCAGUAGAUGGUGGUGGACCCACUCGAGAGUAUUUAAGGUUGCUAAUGAAGGCCAUUCAUCAGUCCAGCAUAUUUGAAGGACCUGAGACAGAUAAAAGAUUGACCCUCGACACUUGUGGUUUGUGGAGGGCUUCAACACCCUUGGCCUCCUCCAGGAGAUGAGGGCACACCCGGAUCUGUUCCGUAGCAUGUUUGAGGAGGAUGUGACGCCUUUGAAAGCUAAAGACCUCUCAGCACUUUUUCAAGUCAGCUUUUCGGCACCAGGGACACACGCAAGAGAGGUAGAAAACUGGACUAUCUGCUUCUGGAGAGAUUGGCUCCUCGAUGUUGAAGGUACUGAACCCUCAAUAUAAUAAGC
ensembl:lncRNA